AGAACGAACGCUGGCGGCAGGCCUCAAACAUGCAAGUCUAGGGGGUGUAGCAAUACAUCACCGGCGGACGGGUGCGUAACACGUGGGAAUAUACCUUUCGGUACGGAACAACUGCGGGAAACUGCAGCUAAUACCGUAUACGUCCUUGCGGAGAAAGAUUUAUCGCCGAAGGAUUAGCCCGCGUUCGAUUAGCUAGUUGGUGAGGUAAUGGCUCACCAAGGCUCCGAUCGAUAGCUGUUCUGAGAGGAAGAUCAGCCACACUGGGACUGAGACACGGCCCAGACUCCUACGGGAGGCAGCAGUUGGGAAUCUUGGACAAUGGGGGAAACCCUGAUCCAGCCAUGCCGCGUGAGUGAUGAAGGCCUUCGGGUUGUAAAGCUCUUUUACCCGGGAAGAUAAUGACUGUACCGGGAGAAUAAGCUCCGGCUAACUUCGUGCCAGCAGCCGC
rnacentral:rRNA from 1 species